rnacentral:rRNA from 1 species
GACGAACGCUGGCGGCGUGCUUAACACAUGCAAGUCGAGCGGUAAGGCCCUUUCGGGGGUACACGAGCGGCGAACGGGUGAGUAACACGUGGGUGACCUGCCCUCAGCUCUGGGAUAAGCCUGGGAAACCGGGUCUAAUACUGGAUAUGACUCCAUGACGCAUGUUGUGGGGUGGAAAGCCUUGUGCGGCUGAGGAUGGGCCCGCGGCCUAUCAGCUUGUUGGUGGGGUGANGGCCUACCAAGGCGACGACGGGUAGCCGGCCUGAGAGGGCGACCGGCCACACUGGGACUGAGACACGG